rnacentral:rRNA from 1 species
UACAGAGGGUGCAAGCGUUAAUCGGAAUUACUGGGCGUAAAGCGUGCGCAGGCGGUUGUGUAAGUCAGAUGUGAAAUCCCCGGGCUCAACCUGGGAAUUGCAUUUGAGACUGCACGGCUAGAGUGUGUCAGAGGGGGGUAGAAUUCCACGUGUAGCAGUGAAAUGCGUAGAGAUGUGGAGGAAUACCGAUGGCGAAGGCAGCCCCCUGGGAUAACACUGACGCUCAUGCACGAAAGCGUGGGGAGCAAACAGG